rnacentral:rRNA from 1 species
UUAAAAUUGUUGCAGUUAAAACGCUCGUAGUUGAAUUUCAAAGAAUCGAUAUUUUAAGCAAUCCUUCUAGCUUAAACCACAUAACUGAUACUUCGUAUCGACUUUGUGCGCAUUUUGCUAUUAUGUGUUCUUUUAAUUAAAAUGAUUCUUUUUAAGGACUUUCUUUGCUUCGGCUUGGAAGUA